rnacentral:lncRNA from 1 species
GUUUCUCCUCAUGGUACGAUGGGCCACAACACGCAACCCAGGACUUGGGAGGAGUGUUGUAUCCAGCGCCUACCACGUGCUGCUGUCAGCCCUCUGGUUAUCAGGGAGGAAUGGGAUCAGGAACCUGCCUUCCAAAUGUUUGAACCCUUGGAGAGAAGAGAAGAUGAGCAAAAAUUACUAAGGCAAUGGAAAACAGUAAGGGCCACAGAAAAGCCACACAAAAGGCUGCUGCGGAACGCUUCUAAUUUUGGCUUCCGGGAUCCUGCUCCACGUUCUUUCUGACUAGCUUGCUAACGUGCUAAAGACAGGGAAGAUCUGUGACGGGGGCGUCACAUGGCCUGUGUUUAUCUGGCUUCGCUGGUAACUGGCCGUGUGACUGGACAAGUCAUUUGCCAAGGAUUAGAGGAGAUGAGCUAAGGGCUCCUUGCCCUGCCACCCUCUAUGAUUCUGAAGGUACAGCAAAGACAGAGGGGGAAGAACAGGGGCCUGGGGCAACAGACAGGCUGUUUGUUUGUUAAUAUACCCUUCCUCCCCUCCCCACCCACCUGUUACCUCGGCUUAUUAGAGGUGGUUGAUGAAAAGACUGGAAUCCAUGCUCCGGGGUCUGCACUGCUCUGGCGGAGAGUUUAGCACCAUAGAGCUCACUUUGUAUAAGUGCACCAGCUGUGAUAAAUAAGCUUAAGCCUCGGUAAUCACUUUUUCACUUUUACCAAUUACGC